CUUCUCUUUGGACUCAAAAGGAAAUAUUUGUUCUUCCUGCUGGCGUUUGGACUGGAACUACAUCAUCAGCUCUCCUGAUCUUCAGCUUACGAAAUCAGCUUGCAGAUUUUGGAAUUGCCAGCUUCUGUAAUUGGGAAGAAAAAUGGAAAGCUGUGAGGAAGUAAGGUCAUCAUGAGGAGAAAGUCACUGAAGUGCCUCGGCUUCCCUGGACUCUAGAUGCUACAGCAGUGGAGGAAAAAAAAGUCCUCCAAAGCUAGGACUCGGGACUCUCUUCCUUAUGCUUCCUGCCUAACUGGGGUCGAGGAUCUGGGGCCACCCAGACACAGUAAGACUGAGCCCAAAGGUGUCAGCUGGCAAGGAGUUUAAAUCUUCCUCAGGCAUCCUUACAGUUCCUGCAGCUACCUUCUAACCACCUGCCGUGGGCAAUGGAUGAGUCCUGAUCAAUUGUAGCCCAUCUCCAUUUAUUCACGUACGUUUUGGCACGUGUGCAAUUCCUGUAUACCUAAGGCAGUCCAUCUUAUAGAAACAUUUUUGGAGUCUUUUGGGUUUUUUGUCUCUUUUAAAAUAAGUGUUUGAAAUUACAGUUAUGGAUGUCCACAAUUUAACGUCCUCCCACACAUAUUUUAAUUGUAGCUUGUACCUAGGAAGUUCAGAAUCAUAGCGGAAGCAUAUAUGGACAUUGAAAAAAAUUAUGCCGGUAGGGUUGGUUUCCAUAAGAAUAUCUGGAAGGAGAAAUUCUCAACCAAAGAUUCAAGAUUGAUGUUGAACUCUGCCAUAUUUGUCACACUGCAGUUUUUAGAAUUGGAUUUUUCUAGGGGCGCCUGGGUGGCUCAGUCGGUUGAGCUUCUGACUUCAGCUCAGGUCAUGAUCUCACGGUCUGUGAGUUCGAGCCCUGUGUCGGGCUCUGUGCUGACAGCUCAGAGCCUGGAGCCUGCUUCAGAUUCUGUGUCUCCUUCUCUCUCUGACCCUCCCUCAUUCAUACUCUGUCUCUGUCUCAAAAAUAAAAUAAAACAUUAAAAAAAACAAUUUAAGUAGAAUUGGAUUUUUCUAAAUUCCAGACACUCUGAGAUCAUUAUUUCAAACAGCACCCAAAAAUGCAUGGAAAUAGUCUCCUCAUUGUGAGUUAAGUAACAUAGUACAAAAUUGUUCAUAGAAUCGUAUUUAUAUAAUGAGCGCUUAGGUGCGUGAGAAGACAGGUUUUGGAGGUCAUCUGCCCUAGCCUUCUCUGUCACAGAUGGAGGAACUGAUGGCCAAAAAAGGUUCAGUCUCUUCUGAAUGACACUCAGUUUGUGGCAGAGCAUGGACCAAAGUCAAGGUUUUCUGAGUGAAUUCUGUUCACUAUGCCUUCCAUUGAUACUCUAUUAGUUGUAUCACUUUUGAGAACCAGGAGAAAAAUUUCUAAAUGAAAACGCAAACGUUGGUGUUAAAUUAAAACAGCUAACUAAGUUAAAUGUAAAGAUAUAGGAACUCUAUAGUUCGUCUACUCUAUAGUUCGUUAUAGGGUAAUAUAUUUUUAUGACAACACAUAUAAGAUGAUUG